GUUCCAUCUCCAGUUCAUACAAAAAUUCACCUUCGCUCAUGUCCCCCAUGUUGGAAGCACUACUACUGACUCUGGUAUCUGUGAGGACCUCUUCUUCUUCAUCCGUCUCAUCAUGUCCUAAUACCCCCCUAGAAGUACUUCCUUUGACACGGUUUGCAUCUGGAACUCUAUUUGCAGUCUCACUCUUAAAAGGAUGCAGUGACCGAGAACUUGAUCUCUCACCUAGAAGUGACGUUUCAGGCGAAUCCUCUUCUUUAGGGCUUGGCAAAGAGGCAACAGUACGUCGACGAGCUCCCAUACAUGACCAUGAUGCCAGGGUUGAGCGGGAUCUAACGACAGCCUCAGCAACAUUCUGGGCACGCCUCAUCACACCCUAUAGGUAAAUUAUCAGUUAAUACUCUGCAAUCAAAAUAUAACAUUUUAAAUUGGGAUGGCAAAAUAAAGAUUUAAUUGUACUUAGAAUAGGCUUAGAAAAAGUUUUUUAUACUUGGCCGGACUUUCAAACACAUAGAGCUGCACUAAAGAACUUGCCUGUGUACUGUUAGAAACAGGACGAAGAAGGGCACUUGCACUAGCAACCCUCUCUCUUGCACUAGCCAUUGUUGGGAGUCGAGAUCCCAAAGCAGUUGCAGAGCGGUAAAAAACAUUC
rnacentral:lncRNA from 1 species